rnacentral:RNase_MRP_RNA from 1 species
GCUACACAAACGAACUCUUCUUUUUUGAAGAGCAAAACAAUUCAUUGCCUUGGGAAAGUCCUCGGACCAUUUAGAGUAGAAAGUACUCCCUUUAAGAGGUCAAAAGUGCCCAAAGGAAUCUGGAGAGUUUUUGCCAAGAAGCACGAUAGCUGAGCACUCUCCAGGCGAAGUUUCUUUGGCGGGCACGCACGUGCUUGCACUUGGUUGUUGUCAUACAGCUGCAAAGUUAUACUUCUGCCCAAACCUCAAAAAAUCCAUCAACAUGCAUUCAAAAACAUACUCAUCUUUCGUUUCUUCUAUCAUCAUUCGAGUUCAACACAAGUGGGUUGUGUGUUUUACUUUGUUUUUCUCGUCGAUGUGUUUUGAGGAGAAACGUCGAUUGGGUUGGUUUUGGUGUUGGUGUGGUUUGUAAAAGAAGCUUGCUUCUUUUCAGUUUGGGUAACACGAUGAGGCUCACUCUGA